rnacentral:rRNA from 1 species
AUUGAACGCUGGCGGCAGGCCUAACACAUGCAAGUCGAGCGGAGCGGCGGACGGGUGAGUAAUGCCUAGGAAUCUGCCUGGUAGUGGGGGAUAACGUCCGGAAACGGGCGCUAAUACCGCAUACUAUCAGAUGAGCCGAGGUCGGAUUAGCUGUGUGUGGGGGGAAAGGCCUACCAAGGCGACGAUCCGUAACUGGUCUGAGAGGAUGAUCAGUCACACUGGAACUUAGACACUGUCCAAACGCCUACGGGAGGCAUCAUUGGGGAAUAUUGGACAAUGGGCGAAAGCCUGAUCCAGCCAUGCGGCGUGUGUGAAGAAGGUCUUCGGAUUGUAAAGCACUUUAAGUUGGGAGGCGGUACCAACAGAAUAAGCACCGGCUAACUUCGUGCCAGCAGCCGCGGUAAUAC